CGAUAAACGCAUCAUAUUUAGUAAGACCUGAUCAAAGAACAAUUUAAAUAGCCGUGAAUCCGUGCUAAGGUAGCAUAAUCAAUUGCCUUUUAAUUAAAGGCUAGAAUGAAAGGCCUAACAUAUAGAAUCCUUUAUUGUUCUGUUUACUUUAAUCUCAUUUAUAGAUAAAAAGUCUAUUUGCAUCAGGAAGACAACAAGACCCUAUUGAACUUUACUUUCAGUUUCACUGGGGAGGUGAAUAAAACAAAACUUUUUCUAUUGUUACAAAUUAUAAUUCUGAAAGAAAUAUGAACAAGUUACCAUAGGGAUAACAGCACGAUCUCUUUUAGGAGAUCUUAUCUUAAAAGAACAUUAUGACCUCGAUGUUGAAUAAAUUUCUUCUAAACGAAGAAGUUUAACAAGAAAGUCUGUUCGACUUUUAAUACUUUUCA
rnacentral:rRNA from 1 species